UAGUAACACCACCACCAUUUUGGACUGUUUGUUUAUCAUGGUUUCGCUUAUGACGUUGGAAGUUGUCUUUUCUUGAAAAUACCAUAUUGCAGGUGGCGCAAUGCCAUUUCGUUCCAGUAUGAUCCGAUCUCUUAUGGCGCAUCAAACUCUCUUUAUUGGGAAAACGAUUUUCCGCAUACACCACAUUUAAUUGGAGAUUUUGCCAUCUUUAUUUUUUUCGAUGCUG
rnacentral:lncRNA from 1 species